AUUGAACGCUGGCGGAAUGCUUUACACAUGCAAGUCGAACGGCAGCACGGACUUCGGUCUGGUGGCGAGUGGCGAACGGGUGAGUAAUGUAUCGGAACGUGCCCAGUCGUGGGGGAUAACGUAGUGAAAAUUACGCUAAUACCGCAUACGAUCUAUGGAUGAAAGCGGGGGAUCGCAAGACCUCGCGCGAUUGGAGCGGCCGAUAUCAGAUUAGGUAGUUGGUGGGGUAAAGGCCCACCAAGCCAACGAUCUGUAGCUGGUCUGAGAGGACAACCAGCCACACUGGAACUGAGUCACGGUCCAGACUCCUACGGGAGGCAGCAGUGGGGAAUUUUGGACAAUGGGCGAAAGCCUGAUCCAGCCAUUCCGCGUGCAGGAUGAAGGCCCUCGGGUUGUAAACUGCUUUUGUACAGAACGAAAAGGUUUCUACUAAUACUAGGAGCUCAUGACGGUACUGUAAGAAUAAGCACCGGCUAACUACGUGCCAGCCGCCGCAGUAA
rnacentral:rRNA from 1 species